rnacentral:rRNA from 1 species
GAAUUAUUGGGCGUAAAGAGCUUGUAGGCGGUUUGUCGCGUCUGCUGUGAAAGGCCGGGGCUUAACUCCGUGUAUUGCAGUGGGUACGGGCAGACUAGAGUGCAGUAGGGGAGACUGGAAUUCCUGGUGUAGCGGUGGAAUGCGCAGAUAUCAGGAGGAACACCGAUGGCGAAGGCAGGUCUCUGGGCUGUAACUGACGCUGAGAAGCGAAAGCAUGGGGAGCGAACAGGAUUAGAUACCCUGGUAGUCCAUGCCGUAAACGUUGGGCACUAGGUGUGGGGGACAUUCCACGUUUUCCGCGCCGUAGCUAACGCAUUAAGUGCCCCGCCUGGGGAGUACGGCCGCAAGGCUAAAACUCAAAGAAAUUGACGGGGGCCCGCACAAGCGGCGGAGCAUGCGGAUUAAUUCGAUGCAACGCGAAGAACCUUACCAAGGCUUGACAU